CACACGCGUACCCAUCCCGAACACGACCGUUAAGCCCUCCAGCGCCGAUGGUACUUGGACCGAAGGGUCUUGGGAGAGUAGGACGUUGCCAGGC
rnacentral:rRNA from 1 species